UCUCUGUAAGGGUUUGCCACCAGCACCGUUUAGAACCAGCAGUGGAAUUUUGUUUUUUUAAAGCACACACAGAAACCUGGGGUCAAACAUUCAUUUGGUGACAGCAGGAGCCGUAUCUGUCUGGCUCACGCCUCCACCCCCACUGUUUAGCACGAUGUUAGAACAUAGGUGCUAAAUAAAACCAUUCCAUGAAGGAGUAUCAAACGUGACUCAGAACUUCACGGCAGCCAGGGCAGGAAGGCAAAUACCUCAAGUCACGUAAUUCUCACCUAUCGAAGAAAGGAAAAACACACACGUCGUUGUGAGUGGAUGCAAACUCUUUCCUGGUACCAGUGUUUAAAAAAAAUGUAUUGUCUGGCUCUUGGAUUAAAGGAAUCCGAGCACACUCAUAGUGGGUCAUACCUUCAAUAAUAGUGAACCAGAGGAUGUCGAAUGCCCUUCAUUGGAUCUUGGCUGACAGCUGGACAGUAAUAGGGAAGUAUAUGUCUGAGCAAGACCUAAAUAAAUAGGGUCAGGAGAGGUGGCUUCUUUGGCCCGUUGCUUAACACAAGAGCCAAACUGAAGCAUUCUAAAAGUCUUAAGCAUAUUACAGUCUUUAAAGAAGCUAAUAAAAAGCUAAAGAUCUUCUUACCGCAAAAUAGAUCUAUACCCAACAUUUGGCACACAGCUAUGGGGCUGUUCACGGAUCCCCUAAAUCUCGGGUAUUAAUCUAUUAACCCUUUGGCAUCUAUGAACCGUAGACUAAGACCCACUUAGAAGAUGAUUGGAGAGACUGCCCUAGAGAUACCAUGUGUGAAAACAGCCUUUCAGCCGCUCAGCCUUACGGAAGAGCGAGCCAUUGUUCCCCGCUGUUCAGCUGGGCUCCGUGCCAGGCGUGGCUCCCGGCUCAGCUCUUCGGCAGGAGCCCACAGGGUCAUAGCUUCUAUUGUUGACUGAAGGACAAUCCACAUAGUUCAGAUCUAAAUGGGGAAGACAUUUAGACAACUCCUUUCUGCCAUCUUCUCAGGGAGUCAGAUCACAGGCGUAAGUAACCACGUGACGUCACUAAUAUCCCGAAAGAGCAGUGUGUCCGAGCCAUCUGCACCAGGAGGCAGGACCACCUCACCGUCGGGGACCUUGGCCGUACACAGCUAUGCCGGAAGUGACCAGGGCCCUUCCAGCAGCAGUAGCUUCCAGUCGCCAAGCCUGGGAAGGGGUUGGAGCUGCUCCCAGGUCCCUGGGUAGAUUUUCCUGGUGAAAGAACUGCUAACUUUCCGUGUGGACGUGGGACCUGCCGUCAUCGACAAUGCAGACCUGUUUGGAUGUGGCACAAAUUUCCUGCCACUCUUUCUAACCCAGAAGCCUUUAUGUUCCCUCUCAAGUGAGAGGGAAGCCUGCUGGGGGCGCUUCUGUCCAGAGCCUCAUAACCCAUCCUGCACCUGCUCACAGAGGAGAUCACACGGCCCCGUAAGAACUGUUCCUCAUCUAUGACAUGGGGACCAACAGUGGCCCCCGCGAGAAGUGGUCCCUAGUGUAUACGUCCACAUACGUUACGUGCUUAGGGCUAAGCCUCGUCUCAGUCCUUGAGAAGGACAUUUGUAUGAUACUGAAGCCAAGUGCCCUAAGGGGACAGACCUGUCCAAAGUCACAGGGAGAAGAGGGCACAGGCCCAAGGCUCCCAAUCCAACUGUUUGCACGGUUAUCCCAGCACCUGGACGUCGGGGACCCUGAAGAAGGGCUGAAUGGGAAGAUGCAGGUUCCCAAGUAGAGCGUUCGCCUGAGUUUUACCAGAGGGAGAUUUUGUGACAACCUCUUUAACACUCUUCCUCCUCCAAACACAUUACAAACAGUGUUGCUGCAGCGAAUCUCCAAUGAGCACAUAAUGAUCAGCCCGGCCACGAAGGUGUGACUGGGCCCACCAGCGGGUGACCAUGUUAUGAGAUUAAUACCCCAAGAGGAGACUUCCCCGUCCAGCAUGAGGGACUAAAGACAGUAGAGCCUAUUUAUUGAAGGACUCUGAGAAUGUCCUCCUGCAAAGAAAAAGCAGAAUGGACUCAGUACCACUGCUGCCUUCCAGAAUGAAUGAGGACCACCAUGUGCAAUAAACGAAUCCCAGCCUCAUCUCCAACAGUACGAGCGUACCCAUAUGGCCACCUAGGAGUGGCCCCCUGAGAGUCUGCCAAGUUUAGGAACCUGAGAAGCUUGAUAUUGGCAUCAGUGUCUUGAGGAAUGGGACCUCUGCCAUGCGUUGGAGGGCCAGUAUUUGUCCACCAAUUUCUACUGGGAUCAAGGUGAAAUUCUCUACCGUAUGUUGCCAUGGUCGAUGCUUCAUGAGGCAUGGGUUGGAUCUAGGAACAGAGUUGGACAACCCCUAACUCUUUGGUCCAGGCCUCUGUCUAAGGACUGUGAUGGGCUGGGACUCAACAUCACAUAACAGCCCCUCACAGGUGUAAGGAGACUUCAGGCCUACGAACCACUUGCACAUCCAUACGUUCCUUGAUUCUUCAGGCAAACCUGAGUGCUGAUCAAGGCAUGGGUUUUACACACUGAAGGGAUAAGGAAAUAAAGGUGUAGAAAAGGUCCGUGACUUGCUGAAGACCACGAGUAACCAGACAACUAGUGGGACUUCCAAACCCAAAGCUUUCUUUGCAAACUGUUCUUCCACCAAAGGUCUGCCUAGUGACAAAUGACAUCAUGCAGAGUAAGCAGGACCAGAUGGACUGUGGUAGGGGAGGUCCGGAGGGCUGAGCAGGGAGUGUGCCCAGCCCAGGCUGGCACUCAUGCCCCCCAGCGAUGAGGGGGGUGACUGGAUGUAGAAGAGCACCCCCCAAAUCUCCUAGCACCAGCAAGGGGUUAGUGCCUUCUCUCCUUGCCCGGGCUCCCUACCCAACCUAGAGUGUGGAUCGAGCUCAGGGUACUGACUGCCUUCUAUCCCAUUGGGAGAGAUGUGUUUACAGACCUCUUGUGGAGGUCACAGUUUGCCAACGGCCUCAUGUUGCACCAACUACCUUUCACACGUACACAGUGUGCUUCAUCGUUGUGUGCAAUAAACACACAAUUGCUUUUUCUGGAACCACACAAUCGCUUUUUGAAGACAACAAGGCAGACGUUCUAAUCCUCACUGGGGCGAGUGACCUGGCAGAAAUCUCAAAGGCAGUCACAGCUAGUUGGGGCUCAAGUGGCCACGUCUUCUCCCACAAUCCUGCCCAGUCAUCAUUUGGAUUUGGCCGCUUGUCUCCCUGCCUGCUCCUCUACUAGCAAGCAUUUAUUGCAGAACAUAACAAACCACCAUUGAUCACCAGGAGACAAAACAGAAGCUAGUAAUGAGGUUUUCCACUUUGCUGAUAUGAUAUAUGCCUAAUUCCCAAAUAAUCCCACUAAUUCUCCUUCCUGGGGGCUGGACAGGCUCUGUAUAGGCGAGACAGCAGAGAGCCAGCCACAGGGCUGGGCGGAAGCCUCCUUCUUCUCAGCAGACACAUACCUCCCCCACCCCGCUGUCUCCUGUGUCUCUCUUAGAUAACAACCUGGCUGGAAUAUGCUCCUAAGGCCAGAGCCAACAGGAGGCACACUACUUUGGUCCCCUUGAGCCCAAGACAAGUACACCUACAGCACAUCACCCCAUCUGACUUCCCUGCAACUCAGGUGGAAAAGCAGGAACAGAGAAAGAGGAUGCGAAUGAUGGUCAUGGUCUGUAGUCCAUCGUCAAAGCAACCCUCCCUAGUCACCGCCAUUCCCUCUCCCUCAGCACCCUUGAGAAGCUCUUAGGAGAAAGUGGGUGCAGAAGGUCCCCUCCACAGCUGAGACUCCAAGGGUACAACUAAACACUGAGGGCACACACCGGCCUUCUAGAGAACAGAAGACGUCCCGGGUCAGGGGUGAGUCUCCUCUGCUGAGUCUAAAGGGGGCUAAGUACACAGUUUAAGCAAUGCUGGCAAUGGUUCCUGGCAGGUAAAGCCCAUUGACUUGUCUUUCUUAUUUACCACAUCUGGGUUCAGAAAAAUAGCAGCCAGAUGUUCAGAAAGCCGUUUUCUUCAUUCCUUAUAAAGUAAAACAACGU